GGAAUUUAGCUCAGUGGUAGAGCACUUGCCUAGCAAGCACAAGGCCCUGGGUUCGGUCCCCAGCUCCA
rfam:Rattus norvegicus chromosome 1, whole genome shotgun sequence.